rnacentral:rRNA from 1 species
UGCGUGUUAUUCAUGAGCGAACAUGAUGUUGAAGAAAUGGCUUUAAUUACCCCGUCUUGAAACACGGACCAAGGAGUCUAACAUACGUGCGAGUACUAUGGUGGCAAACCAUUGUGCGCAAUGAAAGUGAAGGCUGGCUUCCGUCAGCUGAGGUGGGAUCCGCAAGGAGCACCAUCGACCGACCAUGUCCCUUCGGGGUAAAGGUUUGAGUGUGAGCAUUUAUGUUGGGACCCGAAAGAUGGUGAACUAUGC